CACACAGUAAACGAUGAAUACUCGCUGUUUGCGAUAUACAGUAAGCGGCCAAGCGAAAGCAUUAAGUAUUCCACCUGGGGAGUACGCCGGCAACGGUGAAACUCAAAGGAAUUGACGGGGGCCCGCACAAGCGGAGGAACAUGUGGUUUAAUUCGAUGAUACGCGAGGAACCUUACCCGGGCUUGAAUUGCAGAGGAACAUAGUUGAAAGAUUAUGGCCGCAAGGUCUCUGUGGAGGUGCUGCAUGGUUGUCGUCAGCUCGUGCCGUGAGGUGUCGGCUUAAGUGCCAUAACGAGCGCAACCCUUAUCAUUAGUUACUAACAGGUCAUGCUGAGGACUCUAGUGAGACUGCCGUCGUAAGAUGU
rnacentral:rRNA from 1 species